rnacentral:rRNA from 1 species
AUACGGAGGAUGCAAGCGUUAUCCGGAUUUAUUGGGUUUAAAGGGUGCGUAGGCGGAUGAUUAAGCGUGAGGUGAAAUGCCACUGCUCAACAGUGGAACUGCCUCGCAAACUGGUUGUCUUGAAUGCUCCUGCCGUGGGAGGAAUGUGUGGUGUAGCGGUGAAAUGCAUAGAGAUCACACAGAACACCGAUUGCGAAGGCAUCUCACGAAGGGGUGAUUGACGCUGAGGCACGAAAGCGUGGGGAUCAAACAGGAUUAGAUACCCUGGUAGUCCACGCAGUAAACGAUGAUAACUAACCGCUGGGUCGUAGUGAUUCAGUGGCCAAGCGAAAGCGAUAAGUUAUCCACCUGGGGAGUACGACCGCAAGGUUGAAACUCAAAUGAAUUGACGGGG